GAUUAGAGACCCUGCAAGGCUUAUGACAAAUGUGGAUGUAGAAUCCAUUAGCUUAGCAGGGAAAUUAGUUCAGAAAAUCCACUAUGGUGAUAGUGCAGUUUAUGUGGCAGGGAGAGAAAUUUGUCCAGUUGAGACUGUGCCCUGUUUCCACAGGCAUAUCCAUAAAAAUCAUAGAGGGAUAUGCUUUGCAAACUUAAUACCCAUGACUACACUGGAUGACAUUGAAAUUGAGGAUGGCCUGUUGGAUGUUCCAGAAAUAUCAAAUAUUUCUCUAUCUUGUCUACAAACACACACACC